rnacentral:sRNA from 1 species
AUUGGAAAGAAGAAGCCCACGCUUCUCACCUGACCGACAUGUUGUUGGCUGGUUAUGACUCGCACUGCCUUGGCAGUGCUCACUAGAUUAGAAUGUCUAUGUGAGGGAUGUGGGCUCGAUGAGCUUGCAUCCCUUUUUUAUGCGA